UGGACUGUCUAAAACCCAACGGUC
rnacentral:siRNA from 1 species